rnacentral:rRNA from 1 species
CAGCCGCCACGGGAAUACGAAGGGGGCUAGCGUUGUUCGGAUUUACUGGGCGUAAAGGGCGCGUAGGCGGGCGAGUCAGUCGGGGGUGAAAUCCCAAGGCUCAACCUUGGAACUGCCUUUGAUACUGUUUGUCUUGAGUUCGAGAGAGGUAAGUGGAACUGCGAGUGUAGAGGUGAAAUUCGUAGAUAUUCGGAAGAACACCAGUGGCGAAGGCGGCUCACUGGCUCGGUAUUGACGCUGAGGUGCGAAAGCGUGGGGAGCAAACAGGAUUAGAUACCCCAGUAGUCCCUGUCUCUUAUAC